rnacentral:rRNA from 1 species
UUGAUCCUGGCUCAGAUUGAACGCUGGCGGCAUGCCUUACACAUGCAAGUCGAACGGCAGCACGGGAGCAAUCCUGGUGGCGAGUGGCGAACGGGUGAGUAAUACAUCGGAACGUGUCCUGUAGUGGGGAUAGCCCGGCGAAAGCCGGAUUAAUACCGCAUACGCUCUACGGAGGAAAGGGGGGGAUCUUAGGACCUCCCGCUACAGGGGCGGCCGAUGGCAGAUUAGCUAGUUGGUGGGGUAAAGGCCUACCAAGGCGACGAUCUGUAGCUGGUCUGAGAGGACGACCAGCCACACUGGGCACCUGAGACACGGCCCAGACUCCUACGGGAGGCAGCAGUGGGGAAUUUUGGACAAUGGGGGAAACCCUGAUCCAGCAAUGCCGCGUGUGUGAAGAAGGCCUUCGGGUUGUAAAGCACUUUUGUCCCGCCCAAAGAAAAUCCUCCGGGUUNUAAAACUCCCGCGGGGGAGUUAUGGCACUCGGCCAGAAAC